CCCAUUAUAGAAGGGUGGAUGUGGUGGGUUUGCCUCAGUGGAAACUUCCUAGAGAGCCACCAACAUUGAGGGCAGGGUAGUGAAGGAGAGAGGUGGUAGGGGUGGGUGUGGUGUCCAUUUCAAUAGGUCCUCGAUUAGCUCCAGACAGUGUGCAUGUUCUCUAGUGCCUGGGCUCCUUGAGCUGUAGUAUCUCAAGGAAUGGAGGGGGGAAAACAGGGAACAAGUCUAGAGAGCUUGAGAAAAGCUCGACAGGAAAGACAGACAGACUUCUUUCCUUAAGGUGUUCUUAUGGCUUCAGUUUCUCCCAUUAACUCAUUUCUUGCUGCAGUCAAGUUAUGAGAGGAGAAAAGGGAAAAAAAGCAUCUUCUAAAGAAUUUCAUUUGCCUUGACCUGGAAGUUUAUUCCCCAGCCAUCAUUCCAAAGGUCUUUCUUGAAGCUGCAACUUGGCCAGGGUUGGAGCCCAGAAAAAAAACCCUUAAUUGUUGGCAGCGACCUAGAACACCAAUCCAGAAAAUAAGAGAACCGAGUGUGCUAAGAGCAAAAGGUCUUGGGACUGGGAAAAUUAGGAGCAAAAGAGUUCCCACCUGUAGGGUUAGGUAGGAAAGUGUGAGAGACAGACCUAGCCUGGUUUACCCAGGUUAUCUCUCCACCAGCAGCUGAGAGAAGGUUUUAAGUGGUGCCCUGAGGCUAAGAAAAAAACCCUAGAGCAGUUUAAAAUCCCCUGUCUUUGUAGACAGCCUGGUGAACAGGCAAAAGCUCACUCUGAGGCUUCUACAGUUAAAAGCCUGUGGCGGGAGGGGCGUUGCUCUAAUGCAGGAUGACCAAAUCAGGGAAACCGAGUCCCGUUUAAAAUGUAUGGACCGAGCACGCUUCUCGGGGGCUGGAAGCUGCGGCUUUAAGAGCCAGGACCAUGGACACGGACCUGGCGAUCCGGGCCUUGGAGAAGGAACUCUUGUGCCCGGUCUGCAGGAACUUCUUCCGGGACCCGGUCACGAGCCCUUGCGGCCGCACCUGGUGUCGCGCCUGCUUCCCCGGGGGGGCCCCCGGGGAGCUGCGGACCAGCCUGCGCCUGGACAGAGUGCGGUCCCUGCUGCUGCGCCUGCAGCCCCGGCGGCCCCGUGAGCUCCCCCGGGACCACUGCCCCCUGCAUAUGGAGCCCUUCGCGUUCUUCUGCUGCCAGGACUGGGAGCGCGCAUGCAAAGUGUGCAGAUACUCCCAGGAGCACUCGAAGCACCACAUGAUCCCCCUGGCCCCCCAGAGCCCCUCCGGUGAGUGAGCGGGGGCCAGCCUUUGCCCGUCGCAGGCGCCGGGGUGGAGGAGAGGCACUGCACUGGCCAGGAAGGGGCAGGGGCGAACCCCACCGUGCCGGCCGGCCUCCCCGUGUGUCCGGCUGAAGCUCCACUGGCAUCUGGCCGAAGCUCCCCGUGCGUCCAGCUAAAGCUCCCCUGUGCGUCCGGCCAAAGCUCCCCUGGCAUCCGGCCGAAGGUCCCUGUGCUCCCCACAGUGUGGCCCCGAAGCCGUCCCGGCCCAAGUGGAGGAUGUGCAAUAAUAAAUAAUGGCACCG
ensembl:lncRNA